CACCCCCUGUUUCCUGGCCCAC
rnacentral:miRNA from 1 species